rnacentral:rRNA from 1 species
UGAUAAUGACAUNGCUUACCUAAGUCUUGACCAAAUUACGUGCCAGCAGUCGCGGUAAUACGUAAAAGACUAGUGUUAUUCAUCUUUAAUUGGUUUAAAGGGUACCUAGACAGCGAAUAAAGCCAUUGUAGGGACUAAUUCGCUAGAGUUACUUAUGAGGGGGUAUUAAAGUACUGCAGGUGUAGAGAUGAAAUUUUGUUAUACCUUUUUUCGUAUGAGAAUAUAUGGCACAGGUAUAGGUGAAAGCAUCCCCUUAUGUGAUAACUGACGUUGAGGGACGAAGGCUUUGUGUCGCGAACAGGAUUAGAUACCCCAGUAGUCAAAGCAGAAAAUGAUGAAUGUCAUAGAUUAGAUAUACRAUUUAUUCUAUAAAUGAAAGUGUAAGCAUUCCACCUCAAGAGUAAUUUGGCAACAUUGGAACUGAAAUCAUUAGACCGUUUCUGAAACCAGUAGUGAAGUAUGUUGUUUAAUUUGAUGAUACGCAAAAAACCUUACCACAAUUUGAAUAUUUAUA